rnacentral:rRNA from 1 species
GAAAGGACUGCUAAUACCCGAUAGUCCGUCACGGAUACGUCCGUGCCGGUAAAUGGUGCUUCCGCUCGAGGAGGGGUCCAAGUCCUAUCAGCUUGUUGGUGAGGUAACGGCUCACCAAGGCGAUGACGGGUAGCCGGACUGAGAGGUUGGCCGGCCACAUGGGGACUGAGACACUGCCCUGACUCCUACGGGAGGCUGCAGUCGAGAAUCUUCUGCAAUGGACGAAAGUCUGACAGAGCGACGCCGCGUGGAGGAUGAAGGCCCUCGGGUCGUAAACUCCUGUCACAUGUUAAGAAAGGUACAGGUCUACCUGUGCUCUGACGAAUGCAUGAGAGGAAGUCACGGCUAACUUCGUGCCAGCAGCCGCGGUAAGACGAAGGUGGCGAGCGUUAUUCGGAUUUACUGGGCAUAAAGCGCGCGUAGGCGGCUUGGUCAGUCGGAGGUGAAAGCCCGCAGCUCAACUGCGGAAUUGCCCCCGAUACUGCCAAGCUUGAGUGCGGGAGGGGUGACUGGAACUCCAGGUGUAGCGGUGAAAUGCGUAGAUAUCUGGAGGAACACCAGAGGCGAAGGCGGGUCAC